rnacentral:rRNA from 1 species
CAGGAUGAACGCUGGCGGCGUGCCUAAUACAUGCAAGUCGAGCGAACAGAUGAGGAGCUUGCUCCUCUGACGUUAGCGGCGGACGGGUGAGUAACACGUGGAUAACCUACCUAUAAGACUGGGAUAACUUCGGGAAACCGGAGCUAAUACCGGAUAAUAUAUUGAACCGCAUGGUUCAAUAGUGAAAGACGGUUUUGCUGUCACUUAUAGAUGGAUCCGCGCCGCAUUAGCUAGUUGGUAAGGUAACGGCUUACCAAGGCAACGAUGCGUAGCCGACCUGAGAGGGUGAUCGGCCACACUGGAACUGAGACACGGUCCAGACUCCUACGGGAGGCAGCAGUAGGGAAUCUUCCGCAAUGGGCGAAAGCCUGACGGAGCAACGCCGCGUGAGUGAUGAAGGUCUUCGGAUCGUAAAACUCUGUUAUUAGGGAAGAACAAAUGUGUAAGUAACUAUGCACGUCUUGACGGUACCUAAUCAGAAAGCCACGGCUAACUACGUGCCAGCAGCCGCGGUAAUACGUAGGUGGCAAGCGUUAUCCGGAAUUAUUGGGCGUAAAGCGCGCGUAGGCGGUUUUUUAAGUCUGAUGUGAAAGCCCACGGCUCAACCGUGGAGGGUCAUUGGAAACUGGAAAACUUGAGUGCAGAAGAGGAAAGUGGAAUUCCAUGUGUAGCGGUGAAAUGCGCAGAGAUAUGGAGGAACACCAGUGGCGAAGGCGACUUUCNUGGUCUGUAACUGACGCUGAUGUGCGAAAGCGUGGGGAUCAAACAGGAUUA